GCUGGCGUAGCUCAAUGGCAGAGCAGCGGUUUUGUAAACCGCAGGUUGGGGGUUCAAUUCCUCUCGCCAGCUCCA
rnacentral:tRNA from 3 species